AUUGAACGCUGGCGGCAUGCCUUACACAUGCAAGUCGAACGGCAGCGGGGGAGAAGCUUGCUUUUCCUGCCGGCGAGUGGCGAACGGGUGAGUAAUACAUCGGAACGUGCCCUGUAGUGGGGGAUAACUAGUCGAAAGAUUAGCUAAUACCGCAUACGACCUGAGGGUGAAAGUGGGGGACCGCAAGGCCUCAUGCUAUAGGAGCGGCCGAUGUCUGAUUAGCUAGUUGGUGGGGUAAAGGCCUACCAAGGCGACGAUCAGUAGCUGGUCGGAGAGGACGAUCAGCCACACUGGGACUGGGACACGGCCCAGACUCCUACGGGAGGCAGCAGUGGGGAAUUUUGGACAAUGGGCGAAAGCCUGAUCCAGCAAUGCCGCGUGUGUGAAGAAGGCCUUCGGGUUGUAAAGCACUUUUGUCCGGAAAGAAAUGGCUCUGGUUAAUACCUGGGGUCGAUGACGGUACCGGAAGGAUAAGGACCGGCUAACUACGUGCCAGCAGCCGCCGUAA
rnacentral:rRNA from 1 species